rnacentral:rRNA from 1 species
UACGUAGGGUGCGAGCGUUGUCCGGAAUUACUGGGCGUAAAGAGCUCGUAGGUGGUUUGUCGCGUUGUUCGUGAAAACCGGGGGCUUAACUCUCGGCGUGCGGGCGAUACGGGCAGACUGGAGUACUGCAGGGGAGACUGGAAUUCCUGGUGUAGCGGUGGAAUGCGCAGAUAUCAGGAGGAACACCGGUGGCGAAGGCGGGUCUCUGGGCAGUAACUGACGCUGAGGAGCGAGAGCGUGGGGAGCGAACAGG